ACGUAAUAGAUACCCAGGUAGUCCACGCCCUAAACGAUGUCUACUAGUUGUUGGUGGAGUAAAAUCCAUGAGUAAACGCAGCUAAACGCGUGAAGUAGACCGCCUGGGGAGUACGGUCGCAAGAUUAAAACUCAAAUGAAUUGACGGGGGCCCGCACAGGCGGUGGAUUAUGUGGAUUAAUUCGAUGCAACGCGAAAACCUUACCUGGCCUUGACAUGUAACGAACUUUCCAGAGAUGGAUUGGUGCUCGAAAGAGAGCGUUAACACAGGUGCUGCAUGGCUGUCGUCAGCUCGUGUCGUGAGAUGUUGGGUUAAGUCCCGCAACGAGCGCAACCCUCGCCAUUAAUUGCCAUCAUUUAGUUGGGCACUUUAAUGGGACUGCCGGUGACAAACCGGAGGAAGUGGGGAUGACGUCAAGUCCUCAUGGCCCUUAUGGCCAGGGCUUCACACGUAAUACAAUGGUCGGUACAGAGAGUUGCCAACCCGCAGGGGGAGCCAAUCUCAG
rnacentral:rRNA from 1 species